rnacentral:rRNA from 1 species
UACGUAGGGUGCAAGCGUUGCCCGGAUUUACUGGGCGUAAAGGGCGAGUAGGCGGUUAUGUAAGUGAGAUGUGAAAUCCCUGGGCUUAACCUAGGAACUGCAUCUCAUACUGCGUAGCUAGAGUAUUGUAGAGGGUAGUGGAAUUUCCGGUGUAGCGGUGAAAUGCGUAGAGAUCGGAAGGAACACCAGUGGCGAAGGCGGCUACCUGGACAAAUACUGACGCUGAUGCGCGAAAGCGUGGGGAUCAAACAGG